rnacentral:rRNA from 1 species
AGUGAACGCUGGCGGUAGGCCUAACACAUGCAAGUCGAACGGCAGCACAGUAAGAGCUUGCUCUUACGGGUGGCGAGUGGCGGACGGGUGAGGAAUACAUCGGAAUCUACUUUUUCGUGGGGGAUAACGUAGGGAAACUUACGCUAAUACCGCAUACGACCUACGGGUGAAAGCAGGGGAUCUUCGGACCUUGCGCGAUUGAAUGAGCCGAUGUCGGAUUAGCUAGUUGGCGGGGUAAAGGCCCACCAAGGCGACGAUCCGUAGCUGGUCUGAGAGGAUGAUCAGCCACACUGGAACUGAGACAGGGUCCAGAGUCCUACGGGAGGCAGCAGUGGGGAAUAUUGGACAAUGGGCGCAAGCCUGAUCCAACCAUACCGCGUGGGUGAAGAAGGCCUUCGGGUUGUAAAGCCCUUUUGUUGGGAAAGAAAAGCAGCAGGUUAAUACCCCGCUGUUCUGACGGUACCCAAAGAAUAAGCACCGGCUAACUUCGUG